UCUUAAUACAAGCAAGAAACAUUACAGCACAGAGCUGGAGUCUGUGGACUUCAAGACCAGGUCUGAAGAGGUCAGGAUUGAUGUCAACAACUGGGUGCAGCAACACACACCAGGUAACAUCACAGAGGUGGUGGAUGAAGAUGAUUUGAAUGAACUGACCAGGCUGGUGUUGUUCACUGCACCCACUUCAGAGGCAGCUGGAUUAAAGAUUUCUCGUGGUCUGAAACUUAUGAUGCUCAAUUUUGGCUCAAGAAGAAUGACUCAAAGGCUGUGAAGAUGAUGAAACAGGAAGAAGACUUUGCGUGUACCUUCAUCGAAGAAGCAAACUGCAAAGUAACCAUCAUAUUUAUCAUAUUGAUAUAAAUCACUGCAUAAUCAGAUUUCACUGAGAGACUGAGUGAUUGCAAUGUAUGUGUAUCAGUAGAUUUAUGUGCAGUAAUGUUUGACACCCU
rnacentral:lncRNA from 1 species